GUUCGAUCAUGGCUCAGGAUGAACGCUAGCUACAGGCUUAACACAUGCAAGUCGAGGGGCAGCAUAACGAAAGCUUGCUUUUGUUGAUGGCGACCGGCGCACGGGUGAGUAACGCGUAUCCAACCUUCCCCAUAGUAGAGGAUAGCCCGGCGAAAGUCGGAUUAAUACUCUAUGUUGUAUUUUGAGGACAUCUGACGAAUACCAAAGAUUGAUCGCUAUGGGAUGGGGAUGCGUCUGAUUAGCUUGUUGGCGGGGUAACGGCCCACCAAGGCGACGAUCAGUAGGGGUUCUGAGAGGAAGGUCCCCCACAUUGGUACUGAGCCAGGAUCAAACUC
rnacentral:rRNA from 1 species